rnacentral:rRNA from 1 species
UCCGGUUGAUCCUGCCGGACCCCACUGCUAUCGGGGUGGGACUAAGCCAUGCAAGUUGAGCGUUUCGAGCUAUGACGAGACGCGGCGUACGGCUCAGUAACACGUAGUUAACCUACCCUUAGGACGGAGACAACCCCGGGAAACUGGGGCUAAUCCCCGAUGGGUGAGGAGGCCUGGAAUGGUUCUUCACCGAAAGGACGUUGAAGCAUGCUUUCAACCUUGCCCGAGGAUGGGACUGCGGCCAAUCAGGUUGUUAGUGAGGUAAUGGCUCACCAAGCCUUUGACCGGUACGGGCUGUGAGAGCAGGAGCCCGGAGAUGGGCACUGAGACAAGGGCCUAGGCCCUACGGGGCGCAGCAGGCGCGAAAACUCCACAAUGCACGAAAGUGUGAUGGGGCUACCCCGAGUGCCGUCCGCUGAGGACGGCUUUUCUCCAGUGUAACAAGCUGGAGGCAAUAAAGGGAGGGCAAGAAUGGUGUCAGCCGCCGCGGUAAUACCAACUCCCUGAGUGGUGGGGACGAUUAUUGGGCUUAAAGCGUUCGUAGCCGGCCUGAUUAGUCCCGCGUCAAAUCCAGCGACCUAAUCGUUGGGUUGCGGGGGAUACGGUCGGGCUUGGGAGCGGAAGAGGUUAGCGGUAUUCCCGGGGUAGGGGUGAAAUCCUGUAAUCCCGGGAGGACCACCGGUGGCGAAGGCGGCUAACCAGAACGCGUCUGACGGUGAGGGACGAAAGCUGGGGGAGCGAACCGGAUUAGAUACCCGGGUAGUCCCAGCUGUAAACGAUGCAGGCUAGCUGUUGGGAUGGCCACGAGCCAUCCCGGUGGCGCAGGGAAACUGUUAAGCCUGCCGCCUGGGGAGUACNAUCGCAAGAUUGAAACUUAAAGGAAUUGGCGGGGGAGCACCACAAGGGGUGAAGCUUGCGGUUUAAUUGGAGUCAACGCCGGGAAACUUACCGGGGCUGACAGCAGAGUGAAGGCCAGAUUGAAGGUCUUGCUGGACAAGCUGAGAGGUAGCGCAUGGCGGUCUUCAGUUCGUGCCGUGAGGUGUCCUGUUAAGUCAGGUAACGAUCGAGACCCGCACCCUUAGUUGCCACCGGAUCCCGUAGGGAUUCGAGCACUAUAAGGGAACUGCCACUGAUAAAGUGGAGGAAGGAGCGGUCAAAGGCACGUCAGUAUGCUCCGAAUGCCCCGGGCCACACGCGAGCUGCAAUGGUGGGGACAAUGAGUUGCAACCCUGAGAAGGGAAGCCAAUCUCCAAACCCUAUCGUAGUUGGGAUCGAGGGCUGUAACUCGCCCUCGUGAACAUGGAAUCCCUAGUAACCGCGCGUCAUUAACGCGCGGUGAAUACGUCCCCGCUCCUUGCACACACCGCCCGUC